rnacentral:rRNA from 1 species
UUUGGGCGCAGCCUGAUGCAGCCAUGCCGCGUGUAUGAAGAAGGCCCUAGGGUUGUAAAGUACUUUCAGUCGGGAGGAAGGCGUUGAUGCUAAUAUCAUCAACGAUUGACGUUACCGACAGAAGAAGCACCGGCUAACUCCGUGCCAGCAGCCGCGGUAAUACGGAGGGUGCAAGCGUUAAUCGGAAUUACUGGGCGUAAAGCGCACGCAGGCGGUUGAUUAAGUUAGAUGUGAAAUCCCCGGGCUUAACCUGGGAAUGGCAUCUAAGACUGGUCAGCUAGAGUCUUGUAGAGGGGGGUAGAAUUCCAUGUGUAGCGGUGAAAUGCGUAGAGAUGUGGAGGAAUACCGGUGGCGAAGGCGGCCCCCUGGACAAAGACUGACGCUCAGGUGCGAAAGCGUGGGGAGCAAACAGGAUUAGAUACUGGGGGGGUAGUUCAGA